rnacentral:rRNA from 1 species
AUUGAACGCUGGCGGCAUGCGUUACACAUGCAAGUCGAACGGCAGCACGGGGGCAACCCUGGUGGCGAGUGGCGAACGGGUGAGUAAUACAUCGGAACGUGUCCUGGAGUGGGGGAUAGCCCGGCGAAAGCCGGAUUAAUACCGCAUACGCUCUAAGGAGGAAAGGGGGGGAUCUUCGGACCUCUCGCUCAAGGGGCGGCCGAUGGCAGAUUAGCUAGUUGGUGGGGUAAAGGCCUACCAAGGCGACGAUCUGUAGCUGGUCUGAGAGGACGACCAGCCACACUGGGACUGAGACACGGCCCAGACUCCUACGGGAGGCAGCAGUGGGGAAUUUUGGACAAUGGGCGCAAGCCUGAUCCAGCCAAUGCCGGCGGGUGGGAAAAGGCCUUCGGGUUGUAAAGCCAUUUUGUCUCCGGAAAGACCGAAAAAAACCUCGUGGUUAAACCCGUGGGGGAUGACGGUACCGGAAGAAUAAGCACCGGCUAACUACGUGCCAGCAGCCGCGGUAAUACGUAGGGUGCAAUGCAACUUGCGUUAAUCGGAAUUACUGGGCGUAAAGCCGCGCGCCCGGUGUCGCUAAGACAGAUGUGAAAUCCCCGGGCUUAACCUGGGAACUGCAUUUGUGACUGGCGGGCUAGAGUAUGGCAGAGGGGGGUAGAAUUCCACGUGUAGCAGUGAAAUGCGUAGAGAUGUGGAGGAAUACCGAUGGCGAAGGCAGCCCCCUGGGCCAAUACUGACGCUCAUGCACGAAAGCGUGGGUAGCAAACA